rnacentral:rRNA from 1 species
GCACAACGCGAAGAACCUUACCACCUUUUGACAUGCCUGGACCGCCACAGAGAUGUGGCUUUCCCUUCGGGGACUGGGACACAGGUGCUGCAUGGCUGUCGUCAGCUCGUGUCGUGAGAUGUUGGGUUAAGUCCCGCAACGAGCGCAACCCUCGCCAUUAGUUGCCAUCAUUCAGUUGGGAACUCUAAUGGGACUGCCGGUGCUAAGCCGGAGGAAGGUGGGGAUGACGUCAAGUCCUCAUGGCCCUUACAGGGUGGGCUACACACGUGCUACAAUGGCGACUACAGAGGGUUAAUCCUUAAAAGUCGUCUCAGUUCGGAUUGUCCUCUGCAACUCGAGGGCAUGAAGUUGGAAUCGCUAGUAAUCGCGGAUCAGCAUGUCGCGGUGAAUACGUUCCCGGGUCUUGUACACACCG